rnacentral:rRNA from 1 species
AUUGAACGCUGGCGGCAUGCCUUACACAUGCAAGUCGAACGGCAGCAUGAUCUAGCUUGCUAGAUUGAUGGCGAGUGGCGAACGGGUGAGUAAUACAUCGGAACGUGCCCUGUAGUGGGGGAUAACUAGUCGAAAGAUUAGCUAAUACCGCAUACGACUUGAGGGUGAAAGUGGGGGACCGCAAGGCCUCAUGCUAUAGGAGCGGCCGAUGUCUUAUUAGCUAGUUGGUGAGGUAAAGGCUCACCAAGGCGACGAUCAGUAGCUGGUCUGAGAGGACGAUCAGCCACACUGGGACUGAGACACGGCCCAGACUCCUACGGGAGGCAGCAGUGGGGAAUUUUGGACAAAGGGCGAAAGCCUGAUCCAGCAAUGCCGCGUGUGUGAAGAAGGCCUUCGGGUUGUAAAGCACUUUUGUCCGGAAAGAAAUGGCUCUGGUUAAUACCUGGGGUCGAUGACGGUACCGGAAGAAUAAGGACCGGCUAACUACGUG